rnacentral:rRNA from 1 species
UGCCAGCCGCCGCGGUAAUACGGAGGGUGCAAGCGUUGUUCGGAAUUACUGGGCGUAAAGCGCGCGUAGGUGGUUAUAUAAGUCAGAUGUGAAAGUCCACGGCUCAACCGUGGAAGUGCAUUUGAAACUGUAUAACUUGAGUACUGGAGGGGGUAGUGGAAUUCCCGGUGUAGAGGUGAAAUUCGUAGAUAUCGGGAGGAAUACCGGUGGCGAAGGCGACUACCUGGCCAGAUACUGACACUGAGGUGCGAAAGCGUGGGGAGCAAACAGGAUUAGAUA